rnacentral:rRNA from 1 species
AAUGCGGGAAACCGCGAUAAGGGGACACCGAGUGCCAGCAUUUAUGUUGGCUGUCCACAUGUGUAAACGGCAUGUGUUAGCAAGGGCCGGGCAAGACCGGUGCCAGCCGCCGCGGUAACACCGGCGGCCCGAGUGGUAAUCACUUUUAUUGGGUCUAAAGGGUCCGUAGCCGGUUUGAUCAGUUCUUCGGGAAAUCUGACAGCUCAACUGUUAGGCUUCCGG